GAAGGUAGAGGAAGAGAAGGAGGUAGAGGAAGACACCUAGGUAGAGGAAGAGGUAGAGAAGGACUUGAAGAGUUGAUAGAACCUGAACAAAGAAGACGAGGACCAAAUUUGACUCGAGAAAUCCGUGCAACACUUAUUGACCAUGUUAUCAACCAUGGACUGACACUGAUGGAAGCUGGACAAAGAGUUCAACCAAAUCUCAGCAGAAAUACUGUUGCGUCAGUAAUUCGGACAUUUCAUCGAGAAAACAGGAUUGAGGGUCGAGGACACCAAGGUGGAAGGGGCCCUAUGUUUAGUCGUGCACAAGAGGCCGCCAUUGUGAACAUGGUUUUGGCCAAUAAUUGUAUCAGGCUACGAGAAAUCCAAGCCAAUAUCAUCAAUGAUGACAAUAUUUUCAAUAACAUCCAACGAGUCUCUCUGUCAACAUUAGGUCGAAUCCUAAAGAAAAAUCAAAUAUACAUGAAGCAACUGUAUCGGGUACCAUUUGACAGAAAUUCAGAGAGAGUGAAACAUCUGCGCAAUGAGUAUGUGGAGAGAGUCUUGCAAAUGGAUGCUGCUGAAAUUCAACAUGAAUUUAUAUAUGUGGAUGAGGCUGGAUUUAACCUUGCAAAAACAAGAAGAAGAGGGAGAAAUGUAAUUGGGCACAGGGCAAUCACCAAUGUGCCAGGGCAGC